UAUGACAAAUAACAUUCAAUACCUACAUACAACUUAACAAAAUUACAUUAAAAAAAAGCAUGCGGCUUGGCUCGGGUU
rnacentral:sRNA from 1 species